GUUCAUCUCAAGUGGUAUUUCUGCUCUGCCAAACUUAAACAGUGCUGGACCUGAGUAGUGAAGGAUAUCUGUCCAAGGACUGCUGAUAGCAGAUAAGCAUGUGGAGAGAGGAUACAGCUGAAGGAUGCACCACCAACCUCCCCACUCAUUGAUAAAGUUGAGCAGGAGCAGUGUCACCAGCCGUGGUCCACUACAGAAACUUACAGAGGAGCGGUCCAGUUAGCAGAGACUGGACAUUGUAACAAAACCAAAAGCUGGAUCUCAAAAGUGGAACAGGCACACAGUAAGCAAAAAUGGAAAUGAAAAACAUUUGUAUACUGAACAAUGCAAUCAAACACUAUCAUGAGAAAAAAAAUGAAGAAACUACGUUUCAACAUAAGAAACAUGCUGCAUGGUUUCGUACGAGUCUUCCAAUAGCUGUCCACCUCAUUUAAACUGCUGCUUCUCUCCAUGGCUACCAGCAUUUUGCUGAAUAGACAUCAUUCAUUCAACCGACAGCAGAGUGAAAAAUGCCAUUUACUUUCACUGUCAUGAUCCCUACUUAAAGCUACACCUUUUAAGGAGGUUUAUCACACACAGAAGCAGCCUGCAUUCGCUAACAUCCAGCUAUCAAGACAGAAGUCGCCCAGAGAAACAGAUCUCUUCCACAUCCAUCACUACAUUGCAAUUCUGUAUGACAAGAAGGAAGUUCCACAAUCUGACCAAGCCACCCUUAAGAAAUUCACAUGGCCCUGGAUGGAACGCACAGGUAUUACAGCACAUCACUACCCCAGC
ensembl:lncRNA